AAGUUCUUUUUACUUAAACUCUUUUAAGAGUGGUUUCAGACAGAUAUGAUUAUGAAUUGUACUCUGUACAUAUUGCAUGUAUUCAUCAGGUAUGAAAGGCUGAUCACCUUCAUUACCAGUCGUUCCAGAUAUAAUUGUUAUGUUCAUUUUUAAUGUUCAUUCAGCUUAAUACAUUGUGAAGGAUAACCAACUUAUUAUUCAAACCCUUUCUAUCAUGAUAUAUCUUUACCUUGCUUUUAAACUUGCUGGGCAACUUUCAUGCUCACCCUUGCUAUAUCAUGAUAAAACAUUGCAGAUAAGGCGAAUACGGCCAGAUACAGAAAAAGGAUAAUGCCAAGUUCAGCUUGGUACAGAGUGUGAAGUUAAGUUGUAAAGUAUGUUGAAGAAUAGUAUUGUCAUAUGCUAGAUAGUUCAUGAUUGUGUAUAAGUGAAGGUUACUUGAUUCUGG
rnacentral:lncRNA from 1 species